UACGUAGGGGGCGAGCGUUGUCCGGAUUUACUGGGCGUAAAGCGUCCGUAGGCGGUUGGUUGCGUCUCGUGUGAAAGCUCCGGGCUCAACUCGGAGAGGUCAUGGGAUACGGGCUGACUGGAGGGCAGCAGAGGCAGACGGAAUUCCCGGAGUAGUGGUGAUAUGCGUAGAGACCGGGAGGAACACCGGUGGCGAAGGCGGCAUCCUGGACCGACACUGACACUGAGGAGCGAAAGCCAGGGGAGCAAACGGG
rnacentral:rRNA from 1 species